UACGUAGGGUGCGAGCGUUAAUCGGAAUUACUGGGCGUAAAGUGUGCGCAGGCGGCACCGCAAGUCGAGUGUGAAAGCCCCGGGCUUAACUUGGGAAUUGCGGUCGAAACUAUGGUGCUGGAGUGUGGCAGAGGAAGGUGGAAUUCCAGGUGUAGCGGUGAAAUGCAUAGAGAUCUGGAGGAACACCGAUGGCGAAGGCAGCCUUCUGGGCCAACACUGACGCUCAUGCACGAAAGCGUGGGGAGCAAACAGG
rnacentral:rRNA from 1 species